AAAUGAAUAGACGGGAGCCCGCACAAGCAGUGGAGUAUGUGGUUUAAUUCGACGCAACGCGAAGAACCUUACCGGAGCUUGACAUCCUGAGAAUCCUGCGUAAUGGCGGGAGUGCCCUUCGGGGAACUCAGAGACAGGUGGUGCAUGGUUGUCGUCAGCUCGUGUCGUGAGAUGUUGGGUUAAGUCCCGCAACGAGCGCAACCCUUACGGUUAGUUGCUACGCAAGAGCACUCUAGCCGGACUGCCGUUGACAAAACGGAGGAAGGCGGGGACGACGUCAAAUCAUCAUGCCCCUUACGUUCCGGGCUACACACGUACUACAAUGGCGCAAUAACAGAGGGGAGCGAAGGAGCGAUCCGGAGCAAAACCCUAAAAGGCGCCCCAGUUCAGAUUGCAGGCUGCAACUCGCCUGCAUGAAGUCGGAAUUGCUAGUAAUCGCAAAUCAGCAUGUUGCGGUGAAUACGUUCCCGGGCUUUGUACACACCGCCCGU
rnacentral:rRNA from 1 species